UCACAAGGUUUGACUGUUGGAACAGAACAAAGUUCACAUCAUCAACAACAACAGAGGUGGUAUUUCUACCAAUGAGAGAGACAGGGAGAGAAGAAAGCUAAAGAGACGGAUCAAAAAGAAAGAAAGAGAGAGAAUCACAACUUUUACCUCAGGACUGAAGCGACCCUCUUUUCUCCCUGAGGAAUUAUUCUGUGGAUUAGUGAAACCUGAUGUGACACAACCACACCGACUGAAUUCUAAAAAGUUUAAGUCUUGAAGUUAUGUGACUUAAGUACGGACGGACAACUGCCAGGACAACUAUGUAGCAGCAGACAUCUGCAAGUCAUUUCCACCUACAUCCAUUCAAACCUGCCCUUUUGAGGAUCCUGAAAAACUUAUGGAGGUGCUGAGUGGCCCCUGGGCUGAUUUGGCUCUGCUCCUUCGACAGACCAUCAUACAAACAGACAGAGAGACAGACAGCUUUCUUCCUCUCUGGCUGUUUGGCCUGCUGCUGUUCCUGUCUGUCUCUCUGCUGCUGCUGCAAUUGAUUAUCUACCUCAGCUGGAAACUCAGACAGGUUGAGGCUGAUCUCUCGGCGUUUCCGCAAGACAGAAGCGCCAUCUACAGGAAGAUGUGCGGACGCACAAACCAGAGCAGGAGUGUUGGGUCGCACUCUCACACCUGACAGGACACGCACGCACGCACACACACACACACACACACACACACACACACACACACACACACACACACACACACACACACACACACACACACACACAAAAAAACACGAGACACUUAAAAUCUGCUGAAAUGAACACUUGUAGGAUUGUUUCAGGCAGUCCUGCCAGUCAACACGAGUAUCUCUAUAGAGCAAUGUGACCAAUAUCUCAGACAUAAUGCCUUAAGAAGAUGAAUGUUAAAGCCUGCAAAAGAAAAAAAGAAAGAAAAAAAUCACUGUCAUUUUUAGUCCUCCAUACUCUUAGAGAUGUAUUUAUCUCGUUUAAGGGUGGUAGGACAAUCUGUCAACCGGAAAUAAGUGUUUCGUAUAACUGUACAGUUUUUUUGAACAUAUACACACACACACACACAUACAUACAUACAUACAUACAUACAUAUAUAUACACACACACA